GACAGAGGGUGCAAACGUUGUUCGGAAUUACUGGGCGUAAAGCGCGUGUAGGCGGCUAAGUAAGUCGGGCGUGAAAUCCCACGGCUCAACCGUGGAAGUGCACUCGAAACUGCAUAGCUAGAGUCCUGGAGAGGAAGGUGGAAUGCUUGGUGUAGAGGUGAAAUUCGUAGAUAUCAAGCGGAACACCGGUGGCGAAGGCGGCCAGCUGGCGCUGACCUGACGCUGAGGCGCGAAGGCAUGGGGAGCGAACGGG
rnacentral:rRNA from 1 species